rnacentral:lncRNA from 1 species
UGAUAAAUGCCGUUGCUGUUGCCAUGGGGACAGGAGGCUAUCAGAAUGGCCUUGUGAUCUGCAGCCUCUCAGCUCUGCAGACACAUCUUCAGCAAGUGCUCAAGAGAAGAAAAGGUUUAAGAAAAUAUUUAGAACAUUGAAUUGCAACCUUUUUAUUUUGUCAGCUGCUAUGAUGUAAGGCUGACUAUGGAAGAGCUAAAGAAUUGGAGGCACAGAAAGAAAUGCUGAGAACAGCUGUUUUACUGUAAACAUUAACAAGGGGUUGACUUCAUUUGC